AGAGUUUGAUCCUGGCUCAGGACGAACGCUGGCGGCGUGCCUAAUACAUGCAAGUCGAGCGAACCGAUUAAAAGCUUGCUUUUUUGAGGUUAGCGGCGGACGGGUGAGUAACACGUGGGCAACCUGCCCUAUAGACUGGGAUAACUCGCGGAAACGCGUGCUAAUACCGGAUAAUACAACGAAGUGCCUGCUUCAUUGUUGAAAGAUGGCUUUUGCUAUCACUAUAGGAUGGGCCCGCGGCGCAUUAGCUAGUUGGUGGGGUAACGGCCUACCAAGGCGACGAUGCGUAGCCGACCUGAGAGGGUGAUCGGCCACACUGGGACUGAGACACGGCCCAGACUCCUACGGGAGGCAGCAGUAGGGAAUCUUCCACAAUGGACGGAAGUCUGAUGGAGCAACGCCGCGUGAGCGAAGAAGGUCUUCGGAUCGUAAAGCUCUGUUGUAAGGGAAGAAUAAGUACAGUAGUAACUGGCUGUACCUUGGACGGUACCUUACGAGAAAGCCACGGCUAACUACGUGCCAGCAGCCGCGGUAAUACGUAGGUGGCAAGCGUUGUCCGGAAUUAUUGGGCGUAAAGCGCGCGCAGGCGGCCUUUUAAGUCUGAUGUGAAAGCCCCCGGCUUAACCGGGGAGGGUCAUUGGAAACUGGGAGGCUUGAGUGCAGAAGAGGAAAGUGGAAUUCCNAGUGUAGCGGUGAAAUGCGUANAGAUUUGG
rnacentral:rRNA from 1 species